GAGACUUUUCUCUCUUCUAAAGGCGUCCACGUCAGACUUUUUUUAAUGAUAGUAGGAUCCACAUUUGGUUUGGUUUGUCUAUCCGGUUUGGUUUAGUUAUUAAAUACAUAUGUUUAUGAUUUAAUUGCAUAAACAAAGUGACGAGAUUGUUCUUCUUCGGCUUCCAAACGUUUUUUUUUCUGUUCUUCUUCUUCAUUCUCCAUUUCUGUGAACCGUCUUUAUCAUCUCCACGCCCUACCAAGCGAUCUAAGGAUAAGAUCAAUACCGCUAUUGAAACUCUUUGGCGGCGGCGGCAGAACCGUGAGGUCUUCCUCGGCGAGCGAGGUUCCGGUUUAGAAUCAAGGAUCAGAAUCUGGAGAGACUGAGCUUGGAUCCUCUGAUCCCCAAGCUAUGGAUGCAGAGAAGCCUGUUUUAACUGAUGUGCCUGUGAUGGAGAUCUAUCCUAAAGCCGAUGUCUUAGCGACACCUACUAAUUGGCUUGAUUUGAGAAUAGAAGAAAAGUUUGGAUUUUUUAAUAUAAUUAAAAAAAGGAAGAAGAUGGGUUACAUAGGAGCACAUGGGUUAGCAGCUCUUCAUAGACACGAAUACAGUGGUGUGGAUCACUGUUAUCUUGCCAAAUACGUUCUCCAACCUUUUUGGAAUUGUUUUGUCAAAAUCUUCCCUCUCUGGAUGCCUGGUGACAGAUGGUGAGAAGUCGAACGGGGAAGAAGGGAGCUAAGGCUCCAUGGGCGAAGCUACUUUCUCAGUAUUCUCAGGCAUACUAUGAUGCACCAGGGGUUUAGUAAAUUUAAGUUUUUUUUCCAUCUCAAGAAAAUUCUUAAAAGGAAAUAAGGAAAAGAAAACGUUGCUUAUAUUGGUUGAUUUUAUAGGAUGUUUGAAGAGAUUUCAAAAGCACCCUCGAGCAUGAAAUUGGCCCUGAUGAAAUCUCAACGCCAGCUGUCUCCAACCAGAAUAGAAUGAACAGUGCUCGCCCUCCUCCACCACCUGUUGGAAACAUUAAAGUCUUGUGACUGCAAGUGAGCCCAAUGAUGCUCAAUCACCAAAAGCUUACACAACCUAGGAUUACCUCAAGAUCACUGAAGAGCAGCUCAAAGCUUCGUCUCCUGGUAAAAGCCAAACAGAGGAUCAAAUUCAGACUCAAGAACCUGCUGUACAAAGCCAGCCUAAAGUUACAUCGAGAGAGACCAUGGCUGCAUCUCUCCUCCAAAGCAAGAUUGAAAGGCACCCAAAAAUUUGACUCGUCAUGUUAAAAGCACAGAAGCCUCUCUGUCUAUUGGGCGGCGAGAGUAUGCACAUUUUUUAUUUGACUAAGGAGACAGCAUUAGCUCUCAGGACAUUGUCAGGAAGCAUUAUAUAUUGUGCAGUCCUUAUGAAUUGAAAAUAUGAGGGUGUGUGACUCAUAUGUGUAUUUAUGUUCUAUUUGUUUCCUAUUUAAUGAUUAUAAAUGGGGUUUGUUAG